rnacentral:rRNA from 1 species
AGUGAACGCUGGCGGUAGGCCUAACACAUGCAAGUCGAACGGUAGCACAGUAAGAGCUUGCUCUUACGGGUGGCGAGUGGCGGACGGGUGAGGAAUACAUCGGAAUCUACUUUUUCGUGGGGGAUAACGUAGGGAAACUUACGCUAAUACCGCAUACGACCUACGGGUGAAAGCAGGGGAUCUUCGGACCUUGCGCGAUUGAAUGAGCCGAUGUCGGAUUAGCUAGUUGGCGGGGUAAAGGCCCACCAAGGCGACGACCCGUAGCUGGUCUGAGAGGAUGAUCAGCCACACUGGAACUGAGACACGGUCCAGACUCCUACGGGAGGCAGCAGUGGGGAAUAUUGGACAAUGGGCGCAAGCCUGAUCCAGCCAUACUGCGUGGGUGAAGAAGGCCUUCGGGUUGUAAAGCCCUUUUGUUGGGAAAGAAAAGCAGCAGGUUAAUACCCCGCUGUUCUGACGGUACCCAAAGAAUAAGCACCGGCUAACUUCGUG